rnacentral:rRNA from 1 species
UACGAAGGGGGCGAGCGUUGUUCGGAAUUACUGGGCGUAAAGGGCGCGCAGGCGGCCUUUCAAGUCAGAUGUGAAAGCCCCGGGCUCAACCUGGGAAUGGCAUUUGGGACUGGAAGGCUCGAGAUCGGGAGAGGAGGGUGGAAUUCCCAGUGUAGAGGUGAAAUUCGUAGAUAUUGGGAAGAACACCGGUGGCGAAGGCGGCUCUCUGGACCGAUACUGACGCUGAGGCGCGAAAGCGUGGGGAGCGAACAGG